rnacentral:rRNA from 1 species
CGGCAAUGGAGGAAACUCUGACCGAGCAACGCCGCGUGAACGACGAAGUACUUUGGUAUGUAAAGUUCUUUUAUCAAGGAAGAAAAGCAAGUGGCGAACCAUUUGUUUGCCGGUACUUGAUGAAUAAGCCCCGGCUAAUUAUGUGCCAGCAGCCGCGGUAAGACAUAAGGGGCAAGUGUUAUCCGGAAUUAUUGGGCGUAAGGGGUGCGUAGGCGGUCUAGUAAGUCAGUGGUGUAAUGGCAACGCUCAACGUUGUCCGGCUAUUGAAACUGCUAAACUUGAGUUAGAUAGAGGCGAGUGGAAUUCCAUGUGUAGCGGUAAAAUGCGUAAAUAUAUGGAGGAACACCAGAGGCGUAGGCGGCUCGCUGGGUCUUAACUGACGCUGAGGCACGAAAGCGUGGGGAGCAAACAGGAUUAGAUACCCUGGUAGUCCACGCCGUAAACGAUGAGUACUAAGUGUCGGGUUAAACCGGUACUGAAGUUAACACAUUAAGUACUCCGCCUGAGUAGUACGUACGCAAGUAUGAAACUUAAAGGAAUUGACGGGACUCCGCACAAGCGGUGGAUCAUGUUGUUUAAUUCGAAGAUACCCGAAAAACCUUACCAGGUCUUGACAUGUUUUUGCGAAACGGUAGUAAUAUCGUAGAGGUUAUCAGAAACACAGGUGGUGCAUGGUUGUCGUCAGCUCGUGUCGUGAGAUGUUAGGUUAAGUCCUAAAACGAGCGAAACCCUUAUCGUUAGUUGCCAGCACGUUAUGGUGGGGACUUUAACGAGACUGCCAGUGAUAAACUGGAGGAAGGUGAGGAUCACGUCAAAUCAGCAUGCCCCUUAUGACCUGGGCUACAAACGUGAUACAAUGGCUGUUACAAAGAGUAGCUGAA